rnacentral:misc_RNA from 1 species
GGUCGAUAUCCCAAUUUCUUAGACUAGUCAUGAUAACUUCCGACAACAUAUCUUCUGUCUGGGAAGGAUCAGUUGUUAAAAAAUUCAGAAUCUUCUUUUUAAGAUGCCAAGAGUCAUCUAUGUAAUGUGCCGUCAAGCACAAGUAUUCAGCAUCACCAUUUGCAGUCCAUGUAUCAGCACUAAGGCUGAUUUUCCCAGGCAGUUUGUCCAACUCUUCAUAUACUUUCUGUCUCUCCAUCAGAUAAAUCUCCCGGCAGUCGGCCUCAACUCCAUCAAAUGUUGCAAUGUCAAACAAGGGUUGAAGAUUCCUGACAAAUAUACGGAAA